GGCGAGUCUGGAUGAGAGGACGGCGUCGGAGUCACUGUGGACGUUGUUCGCUCAGCAGGUUAGAGUGUGGGACGCUCUCCAUGCUCUUUUCCCCUCUCCCCUCGUGUCUUUUCCUGUGUGAACUCUGCCGCUCUCAACAGCAGCACUGGCUAUGGCUAGCUCCUGCUAGCUCCAACGAAGCAUCUCUCAACUGCUACAAGGUCCAACUUGACACACAACUUGAAUCCAACCAAACUGAACACUGACUCCAGGGACGGACAAGCCUGAAGGAAACAGCUGUGAUGACCAUGUUCUGUCUCUUAUGGCAAAGCAGAAAUAUAAAACACUGGGUUCUUAUCUAAAGUGUAUCAAAUCAGAUCUCCACCAUGUUGCUGCUGAGGACAUCAGUUGUCUUCCAGUUGACCAGCAUGAAGCUGCAGAUCUCCACCAUGUUGCUGCUGGGGACAUCAGGAGCAGCAUUAAUGAGGAGCAGAAGCGUACUGUUAUGAAUGUUUUGUGUUGUUUAUGAAGCACUACAUAUUUCAGCUAGAACCGAUGUACUAGGGUCUGGGUUUGUAUCCUAAUGGUUAAAUGCACAUACUUUAAAUCGCUUUUGAUAAAACGUGACAAAGAAAUACAACAUUGUACACAUAGAUAAAAUGUCUUUCUACCUCAUCUGUAAUAUUCAAGGUGAUGAUCUCCCACAGAGCUGUUGAUAACAGUCCACAUCAAGUCUCUCCACUUCCCUCAGUGUGAAAACAUAAUUAUAUAAUUAAUUGGAGAAGUGUUUACAACACUGAUGUGUGGACAUUAUAAUCUUAUCACUACUGUCUAAUUCACUCUACAACUCCAUGACAGACUAAAUAAACGAUGUGAAAAUAGUAAUGGCGGAUAUACCAUCCUGUAUCAGAAUAUUGGUGAAACAGUUACUAUCACAUGAAACGUACACGUGUAGCGUAUUGA